rnacentral:rRNA from 1 species
GACGAACGCUGGCGGCGUGCCUAAUACAUGCAAGUCGAGCGGACUGACUGGGAGCUUGCUCUUGUUCGGUCAGCGGCGGACGGGUGAGUAACACGUGGGCAACCUGCCCGCAAGACCGGGAUAACUCCGGGAAACCGGAGCUAAUACCGGAUAACACCGAAGACCGCAUGGUCUUUGGUUGAAAGGCGGCGCAAGCUGCCACUUGCGGAUGGGCCCGCGGCGCAUUAGCUAGUUGGUGAGGUAACGGCUCACCAAGGCGACGAUGCGUAGCCGGCCUGAGAGGGUGACCGGCCACACUGGGACUGAGACACGGCCCAGACUCCUACGGGAGGCAGCAGGAGGGAAUCUUCCGCAAUGGGCGAAAGCCUGACGGAGCGACGCCGCGUGAGCGAAGAAGGCCUUCGGGUCGUAAAGCUCUGUUGUGAGGGACGAAGGAGCGCCGUUUGAAGAAGGCGGCGCGGUGACGGUACCUCACGAGGAAGCCCCGGCUAACUACGUG